AUGGCUCAGGAUGAACGCUAGCGGCAGGCUUAACACAUGCAAGUCGAGGGGCAGCGGGAUGUAGCAAUACAUUGCCGGCGACCGGCGGAUGGGUGCGUAACGCGUAUGCAACCUACCUUAUACAGGGGAAUAACCUUUCGAAAGGGAGACUAACACCCCAUGGUAUUGAUUUAAGGCAUCUUAGAUUAAUUAAAUAUUUAUAGGUAUAAGAUGGGCAUGCGUAUGAUUAGCUAGUUGGUAAGGUAACGGCUUACCAAGGCGACGAUCAUUAGGGGUUCUGAGAGGAAGGUCCCCCACACUGGUACUGAGACACGGACCAGACUCCUACGGGAGGCAGCAGUGAGGAAUAUUGGUCAAUGGGCGCAAGCCUGAACCAGCCAUGCCGCGUGCAGGAAGACGGCCUUAUGGGUUGUAAACUGCUUUUACAUAAGACUAACCGUAUAUUUGCGAAUAUACCUGAAUGUAUUAUGAGAAUAAGGAUCGGCUAACUCCGUGCCAGCCGCGGC
rnacentral:rRNA from 1 species